rnacentral:rRNA from 1 species
GACGAACGCUGGCGGCGUGCCUAAUACAUGCAAGUAGGACGCAGUUGCGAACGGGUGAGUAACGCGUAGGUAACUACCUAUUAGAGGGGGAUAAAUAUUGGAAACGAUAGCUAAUACCGCAUACUAGUAGAUGGACCUGCGUUGUAUUAGCUAGUAGGUAGGGGAAUGGCCUACCAAGGCAACGAUACAUAGCCGACCUGGAAAGGUUAUCGGCCAACCUGGGAAUGAGACACCGACCGGACUCCUACGGGGGGCAGCAGUAGGGAAGCUUCGGCAAAGGGGGGAACCCUGACCGAGAAACGCCGCGUGAGUGAAGAAGGUUUUCGGAUCGUAAAGCUCUGUUGUUAAGGAAGCGGUACUUAACCAGAAAGGGACGGCUAACUACGUGCCAGCAGCAGCGGUAAUAC